UACGAAUCGCACGGCCUUGCGCCGGCGAUGGUUCAUUCAAAUUUCUUCCCUAUCAACUUUCGAUGUUUGGGUAUUGGCCAAACAUGGUUGCAACGGGUAACGGAGGGUUAGGGCUCGACCCCGGAGAAGGAGCCUGAGAAACGGCUACCACAUCCAAGGAAGGCAGCAGGCGCGCAAAUUACCCAAUCCCGACUCGGGGAGGUAGUGACAAUAAAUACUGAUACAGGGCCCUUUCGGGCCUUGUAAUUGGAAUGAGUACAAUUUAAAUCCCUUAACGAGGAACAAUUGGAGGGCAAG
rnacentral:rRNA from 1 species